UUUUUGAACCAAAAAUGGGGAUUUUUGAACCAAAAUCGGGGGUGAAAAAUGAGGGAUUUUGGGGCAGAAAAAUGGGGGUUUUUUUGGGGUAGAAAUGGGGAUUUUUGGGGUAAAAAAAGGGGAUUUUUGAAGGUGGGAAAUGAGGGGUUUUGGGGCGGAAAAUGAGGAUUUUGGAGGCGGAAAAUUGAGGAUUUUUGGGGCAGAAAAUGAGGAUUUUUGGGGUUAGAAAGUGGCGAUUUUUGGAGCCCGAAAAAGGAGAUUUUUGGGGUGGAAAAUGAGGAUUUUUGGGAGAAAAAAAAUGAGGAUUUUUGGGGUAGAAAAUGAGGAUUUUUUGGUUAAAAAAUCGCGAUUUUUUGGAGCCCGAAAAUGAAGAUUUUUGGGAGAAAAGAAAAUGAAGAUUUUUGGGGUUAAAAAAAGGGAUUUUGGGGGACAAAAAAAAGGGGGGAAUGGGGGGAUAAAAAGGGGGAUUUUGGGUUAAAAAGGGGGAUUUUUGGGAUUAAAAACCCAAAGAAAUGGUAAAAAAACCGGGUUUUUCCUCCCUAAAAUGUGACUUUUUCGCCUUAAAAAAUUGUAUUUGUGCCUAAAAAUGCCGAUUUUUGCCUAAAAAUGCCGAUUUUUGCCUUAAAAUGUCGAUUUUUGCCUUAAAAAAGUGUCAUUUCGCUCUAAAACGUGCAUUUUUUUGCCUAAAAUUGUGUCAUUUUUGCUGUAAAAUGUGUGUUUUUUGCUGUCAAAUGUGUGAUUUUUGCCUUAAAAUGUGGAUUUUUGCCUUAAAAUGUGGAUUUUUUUGCUGUAAAAUGCCUGAUUUUGCCUUAAAAUGUGUCGCUGUCAUUAAAAAGUGGAUUUAUUUUUGCCUCGAAAAUGCGUCUUUUUCCCUUAAAACGCGGAUUUUUCCCUAAAAAUGUGAAUUUUCCCCUAAAAAUGUGGAU
rnacentral:lncRNA from 1 species